CAGUCGCCACGGUAAUACGGAGGGUGCAAGCGUUACUCGGAAUCACUGGGCGUAAAGGACGCGUAGGCGGAUUAUCAAGUCUCUUGUGAAAUCUAACGGCUUAACCGUUAAACUGCUUGGGAAACUGAUAAUCUAGAGUAAGGGAGAGGCAGAUGGAAUUCUUGGUGUAGGGGUAAGAUCCGUAGAUAUCAAGAAGAAUACCUAUUGCGAAGGCGAUCUGCUGGAACUUAACUGACGCUAAUGCGUGAAAGCGUGGGGAGCAAACAGGAUUAGAUACCCGAGUAGUCCCUGUCUCUUAUAC
rnacentral:rRNA from 1 species